ACAGAGCUUAGCUGAUUGGUGAACAGUGAUUGAUUUCCUCUUUGUUCACAGUGGCUAAGUUCUGCACCUG
rnacentral:pre_miRNA from 1 species